rnacentral:rRNA from 1 species
UUGGAGAGUUUGAUCCUGGCUCAGAGCGAACGCUGGCGGCAGGCCUAACACAUGCAAGUCGAACGGACCCUUCGGGGUUAGUGGCGGACGGGUGAGUAACACGUGGGAACGUGCCUUUAGGUUCGGAAUAGCUCCUGGAAACGGGUGGUAAUGCCGAAUGUGCCCUUCGGGGGAAAGAUUUAUCGCCUUUAGAGCGGCCCGCGUCUGAUUAGCUAGUUGGUGAGGUAACGGCUCACCAAGGCGACGAUCAGUAGCUGGUCUGAGAGGAUGACCAGCCACACUGGGACUGAGACACGGCCCAGACUCCUACGGGAGGCAGCAGUGGGGAACUUGCGCAAUGGGCGAAAGCCUGACGCAGCCAUGCCGCG